rnacentral:tRNA from 1 species
GGGCCGGUAGCUCAGGCGGUAGAGCAAUGGCCUUUUAAGCCAUGGGUCGAAGGUUCGAGUCCUUCCCGGCUCA